ensembl:misc_RNA Metazoa_SRP Metazoan signal recognition particle RNA
GCCGGGCGUGGUGGCGCGCGCCUGUAGUCCCAGCUACUCGGGAGGCUGAGCUCGCCGGAUCGCUUGAGCCCAGGAGUUCUGGGCUGCAGUGCGCUAUGCCGAGCGGGCGUCCGCGCUAAGGCCGGCAUCAAUAUGGUGAGCCCCGGGGAGCUGGGGCACACCAGGUUGACUAAGGAGGGGUGAACCGGCCCAGGUCGGAGACGGAGCAGGUCAAAGCUCCCGUGCCGGUCAGUAGCGGGAUCGCGCCUGUGAAUAGCCACUGCAGCGUAGCCUGGGCAACAUAGAGAGACGCGGGUUCCU